rnacentral:rRNA from 1 species
UACGUAGGUGGCAAGCGUUGUCCGGAUUUAUUGGGUUUAAAGGGUGCGUAGGCGGCCCUGUAAGUCAGUGCUGAAAUAUCCCGGCUUAACCGGGAGGGUGGCAUUGAUACUGCAGGGCUUGAGUGAAGUCGAGGUAGGCGGAAUUGACGGUGUAGCGGUGAAAUGCUUAGAUAUCGUCAAGAACACCGAUAGUGAAGACAGCUUACUAGACUUCAACUGACGCUGAGGCACGAAAGUGUGGGGAUCAAACAGGA